ACAUAUAAAAUUAUUCCAAAAAAUUAAUAUAAAAAACUUCAAAAUUUAUCGAAACUAUAGACUAGUUUGAAUCGGCUAUCCAAUCUUUUAAAAUUUUAUUUUUACUAUCUGAACGUUUCAAUUUGUUUGAUGUGAGUCAACUAGUGAUACAUUGUCUUUAAAAACUAAGCUAAUUAAUUACUCUGAUGAGUUUGUAGUUGCAAGAAUCGCAUGAAAUAUAUUAACUAAACUUGUAAAGAAAAACAGCACAUUCAAAUUUUGAAAUUAAAGUACCGUUGACUAAUUCAAAUCAAAUAAAUUAAAAGAUUGAAUGAUAAAAUUAAAAUUUUAAAAUAUUAGAUGGUCAACUCAAAAUGAUCUAUAAUUCAAAUAAAUCCUGUAUAUUUU
rnacentral:lncRNA from 1 species